UCCUUGUUUCUUGAAUCUUGUACGCAUCUGUCGAAUUUAACCAUUAUAGCUGCUAACAUUCCAAUUGUUUUCAUGUAUAUCUUUGGAAUCAUGAAUUUGACUUCUGAGAAAGUUGAUCUCCCUUUGAAUCUGCAACUCGACCCUUGAAACUUUCAAACUCAGGUGCAUGUAUAUCCUCCUUGCUCUGUCCAGUGUCCUCUAUAUUAUCUGGUGGAUCCCCAGUAAAACUAUUGGUUUUCAUCUUCUGGUGCUUUCUCUCUUAUGAUAGAGCUUUUGUUUUCCCUAAUAUCUACUUGCUGGUCAGGCCUGGUCCUAUUCGCCGUAGCCAAAUCCACUGUCAAAGGCUUCCCUACUGCAGUUGCCAUGGAGAAAAUGGCUUCUCUUGCAAAAAAAUUUGGAGGUAAUAUGCUGGAGUGGAUAACAUCUUCACAUAGUCUUCAAAGAGAAACAAUCUAAUCAGAAUGUAUCUUUCAUCAAUAAGGCCAAUGGUGGAAUUCCCUUUGAUUUCACAUUGUACUGGAAUUACUUCUCUUAAUUUCUUUAUGUCUAUGAUAUCAUAAGAGAAUUUACCCAAAAUUGCAUAUUGUAACUCUUCUUUGAUUAUCAUCUGGUGUAUUUCAUUAGAAUUCCAGGUUAUGUAGGGUUCACCAUCUACAAAAUUAACAGUCUUGGAUGGGAUAUUAAUCUGCUGUGUAUUCUGAACUGCUGUUGGAGGCUUCAAAAGAUUUGCAUAAUUCUGUUCUU